rnacentral:rRNA from 1 species
AGAGAACGAUGUCGGAUAUUGGGCGUAAGCGCGCGCAGGCGGUUUCUUAAGUCUGAUGUGAAAGCCCCCGGCUCAACCGGGGAGGGUCAUUGGAAACUGGGGAACUUGAGUGCAGAAGAGGAGAGUGGAAUUCCACGUGUAGCGGUGAAAUGCGUAGAGAUGUGGAGGAACACCAGUGGCGAAGGCGACUCUCUGGUCUGUAACUGACGCUGAGGCGCGAAAGCGUGGGGAGCGAACAGGAUUAGAUACCCUGGUAGUCCACGCCGUAAACGAUGAGUGCUAAGUGUUAGAGGGUUUCCGCCCUUUAGUGCUGCAGCAAACGCAUUAAGCACUCCGCCUGGGGAGUACGGUCGCAAGACUGAAACUCAAAGGAAUUGACGGGGGCCCGCACAAGCGGUGGAGCAUGUGGUUUAAUUCGAAGCAACGCGAAGAACCUUACCAGGUCUUGACAUCCUCUGACAACCCUAGAGAUAGGGCUUCCCCUUCGGGGGCAGAGUGACAGGUGGUGCAUGGUUGUCGUCAGCUCGUGUCGUGAGAUGUUGGGUUAAGUCCCGCAACGAG